AUAAAUGAGCUGCUUCUCAGGCCUUUUGGUCCAGAGAAUAGAGCAAUGGAAAGUCAAAAAGGCUUUCGAAGAGAAGAAAGGGGUGGACGGUUUGUGUGUUCUGGCAUGGAAGGAGACUCUUCAGCUUGUCUAAAAGAAGCAUCUCCAUUUGGAAGAUGAUUACAUGUCAGCUGCCAAGAUCUCCAUUAGGAGGUUUGUGUUUCCUUCCAACAUUAAAGAAUAUCUCUAACAUCUGUAGCAAUGAAUGGAGAGAAGUGUCGGUUCUGCUUCCGAAACAAGCAAUGUCCCAAUUUGAAAGAAGAAAAAUGUGAAAUAAUGACUAUAGCUUCGGAGACUUCUGUUGGGUAGCCAAAAAUGUGCAAAGUCUCUUCCAAGGCUUGAUCUUCAGAGUUGGUUCU
rnacentral:lncRNA from 1 species